UGUGAGUGCGUGAGAUAUGCGAGGCACGGACAGUUACUGCGCGCUGGUACGAGUGGACGGUUCGAUCUGGGGGUUUACGCGAAAUAUAUCCUGUAUCCGAACACGGUGCUUCUCUCAACCCCCUGCGCCCCACGACCAGAGGUAGUGCUCAAUUAGGGAUCCACCCAACAAACGAUCCCUAAAAGCUCAAGCUUGAAAGAGUGGCCAGUACUUCUAACCAAGUAUAAAUGAUAUACCAGUAGAAGGUACAACAGCCACAUGUGGCACAUCAUUUAGUAUUAUCGAGUGAGGCAGUUUUUUAUGUAUGCCACACUGAUUGUAGAAUUAACAUAGGGUCUGCACUAGCCAAGCGCUCCGCCCACAAAUCAAUAACAAGGUGUUUUUUGGCGAGCUUCGCGGCAGUCGGUGUAGCCAACUGAACUCAGCAUACACUUGGCUAAUUAAACGGAUUUUAGGAGUGAAAUAAGAGAUGAACCUGGCGCAAGCAAAAAAGAAGGAGAAAGAGACGAAGGAGAAAGAUAUGGAGAAGAAAACCAAGGGGAAGAAGGGGGAGAAAAGAGCCAACUUCCAUGUGCUGGUGGCCAUGAUAUCACCGCAUGAUAGGGAUGAAGAUUCCGAGGCUGUUCCUCAAAUCAUCAAACAUAAGGACGAGACGCAAAAACAAGAAACCAUCAAGAAUGAUUCUAAAACCAAGAAAGAAUAACCUCUUUUGGCGAUCCUUUUGACUGACCGUUUAUAAAUGUUGCUUUUUAUAUUCCAUCUUAUUCAUCGUAUUAUGUUGGUUGUGACUUUUUAAAAUUGUAAGUCAAUGUUGGUAAAACUUCAUAUCAAAUUAAACCAUAUCAAAAACGUAAUAAAAAACCGUGAAAUUUUGAUCUUAAACGUAACAUUUGCAACAAAAUAUGUAAGUUAGUAACGCACAAAUUCAAUAGUGAUACGAUACAGUUGUGAACCAAUUAAUCUAGGCACAUUUGUCUGACUUUGACUUGUUCUUAUGGCUACAUUGUAAUUUUAUUGUCAUUAGAAAAAAACAUCAUCGUAGAACAUCAUUCUAAAAUCAUCCAUCACUAUGACUACGUUUUUCUUUUGUGUUCCUUAAGACUGCAUCCUGUCCGAUCCUGAAAGACUGUGCAAUUUUAACCCCAAUCUUUUACACUUUUUUUAACAUUUUAUAAAGAUUAAUUUGUUGUCUAUUUCUAUAACGUAUGUCAUUUAAGACUAUUAAGCUCAUUUACUAAAUGUUAUCGUAAUAAAACUCUUCAAAAUCA
rnacentral:lncRNA from 1 species